rfam:Ixodes scapularis strain Wikel colony gcontig_1108378757888, whole genome shotgun sequence.
GCAGUCGUGGCCGAGUGGUUAAGGCGAUGGACAUAGAAAUCCAUUGGGGUCUCCCCGCACAGGUUCGAAUCCUAUCGACUGCG